AUGAACAGUAGGGGAGAUCCAUUCGGCGUUUUCUGCGACUAGGGCAUAGGCACCUCCUUCUCCUCUCUUCUUCCACUGGCCGGCGGCUCUCUUCUUAUCCAUCGCCGUCGGCCGGACUUCCUUCACCAUCCUCUCCAUCAUCCCGCGGCCAACCCAUUCCAACUUCUCCUGCUUAGAUCCAAGCGGCGGCGAUAGCAGUCUUCACCUCACCGGAGAGGGUUUCUCCGGUGAGAUCCUUCACCUUCCGAGUUCUCUGUCUUUCUGGGGUUCGGACGGGCAGAGGAAGAAGAAGGCGACGCCAUCCCUGCCUUUUUCCAGCAGCACUUCUUCAUUGAUUCUUCCGGAUAGCACCUUUCACAUUUCGAGCAGCACUUCAUUCUUCAACAGAUCUGGACAGUUUUGGAUUGUUGCAGUUUCUUCACUGAAUUCUUAUUGACAUGUUAAUUUUGUGUGUUUGAUUGUUUGAUGCUUGUACUAAAUUGAUCUCCCAUGUUUUAGUGCACGUACUCAUGCUAUUUUGAUUCAUGCUCGUAAGGUGUUCGACAAAAUGUUUCUUCCAACAGAAAUUCAAAGAGCCAUUGAUUAGGGUCGAGUCGGAUCGAAUUUGACUUGAUUUGGAGGUCAAAUGAGGAAGAUCAAACUGAAUUAAUGUGGACCAUUGAUCAAGAUCCAGUGCGAUCCUGCCCAUCAGUCAGAUCAAGUGAUCCAACCUUUCAUCAUGAUUUAAAGUGAUCUGGACCGUUGAUCGAGAUCAAGACAUCCAAGGGUUCAUCUAAGAAGUAGAGCUCCAAUUCAAAUUUGAUCCAAAAGCCUACUCUUCAAACCCAAUCUUCGAACCCAUUCUUCAAGCCCGAUUAUAAAAGCCCAAUUUCAUAUUCUUAUUAGAUCCGGAUCCGGAAUUCACUCAAAUCUUUCCUUACCAAACCCGAAACCCAUUAAACCAUUAAGAACCUUACCUCUUCACGGAUGCACAGGGCCGCCUCCCACCUUCUGUGUUCGCGAAUUGCAGGGCGCGGCUAGGGCAUCGACUUCUCCACAGCACCUCCUUCUUCUCCGUUCUUCUCUCCGGCCGGCGGCCUCUCUUCCUCUCUUUCUCGCCGCCGGCCGGCCAUCCACAGCCAUACUUCUUCUCAGAUUCCAGAGGCGAGCGGCAACAACAACUCGGCAAGGAACGGCGAGCUUCGGCAGCGAUUCCGGCAAUCCACCUCGCCGGAGGGGUUCUCCGGUGUGAUCUCCACCGUCCAGCUUCUUCCUGGCAGCUCCACUGCUUGGGGUUCAGGCGGCAGAGCAAGGAGCAGCAGGCGGCGGUUCGUUCCAGUUCACAGCAGUCCACAUUCAUUUCCAGCCAUCUUCCAGCGGAGGGGUUCUUCGGUGGAAGAUCCGUUCACCAUCUUCGUUGUCGCAGCUAGCAGCAUUCCAGCAGAUUGUGCGCUGUCCACCGGUUUUGGGGGUUCCGAUCCGGGUCUUCGUGUGACGACCAAGAUAGUUAUUGGUAAUCGGAAGGGGAUAUGUGAAUUGUGGUUGGAUUAGUUUAGAGUUUAAUUCUGUUAAUUUUGUUAAUUUGCUUGUGUUGAAGUUCUAUUGUUGAAUGCUUGUAUUGAAUAUGAUUGUUCAAGUUUGAAUUGCACUUACUACGUUUAAUUAA